AUGGUGUCUCUAGCUUAUCAGGUAAAGCAUCUCACUGUGAAUGAGAAGAAUAGGGUUCGAGUCCCAGAGUACACCCUA
rnacentral:tRNA from 1 species